UGGAUUUUGUCUCAAACGAUUGUUGGUAAGGUGAAAAAUUACUAACUCUUGUUAAUUAAUGAUAGUUAUGAAUCCUAUGUUGAUUGUGAGUAAUAUUAUUGAUAUUAGAUUGUAUACAUGUGACUUGGAACUAAAUUGAUGGAGUUGGAAUAUUGAGUUGGGUGUUGGAUGCUGGAAAUUCUUGUGGUGGAGGCUUGGAGCUUGUGAAUUGAGGACUUUUGGGGUGUUUUGGCACUAGGGAGGAAUCAACCAAGGUAUGAUCUUAAUUUUUCGUAGAUAAUAUGUAAUGUCAUGUGAAAAUAUAGGCUAGACAACCAUAAGAUAGGUUGGAUUAUGCUAGUAUGUGAAGGUUAGUAAUUGAUGCAAAUGUUGAACUUGUUAUAAUGUUAUGUUGAGUAAUGUGGUUGAUGUUUGAUGACAUGGUGAUUUUGAGAAAUAACAAUGAAACAUUGAUGAUUGAGCAUAAAGUGGUAUUGGACAUGAAUUGUGGGGUUGAACUUAAUGAAAUUGUAUAUUGGUGUACCAUGGAGUGAAUGAGAAGGAUUGAGAUAUGGUUUAGCUUGUUUUGGUGCUGUUUAGAAGCUUGAUAUAUUGGUCUUGAAUUGAAAACUUGGUAAAAAUAAAGGUUUGUGAUUUUUGAGCAAAAUUGAUUUUUGAUUGAACUUCGGCGGGGCAAAAUUGAUUUCAAACUAUUUUCUAACUUCCAAACCUCUAUGGUUGCCUUUUGAGUUCCAAAUUCAGUUUCCACUCAUGGUGAGAGGGGUAAAAUUUGAGAGGGUGUUGGCUUGGUGGUGAAGAAAGAUUGUGAAGUGUUAACUGAAACAAUGAAUGGUUGGUUGAUUGAGGAAGUGCGGAAUAUUGAGACUAUUAUGAAUGAAGGCUAAUUGAUGAUGAUUGAUUAAUAUUGAAUGGAUAUGAUAAAUGAGACAUGAUUGACGAUAAUUGAUGAUGAGCAGGUUUAUGUUUUCUCUCUGUUUGUAAAGUGUAUCGGGCACUAUAUCCCAAGAGCGUGUCGGACACUAUAUCCCAAAGAGCGUGGCGGACACUAUAUCCUAAGAGUGUGGGAGCACUUUACCCUAGGAAGUGUAUUGGGCACUAUAUUCCAGGAGCGUAGUGGGCGCUAUAUCCCAAGAGUGUGAGAGCACUUUAUCCCAGAAAACGCGACGGACACUAUAUCCCAUGAGUGUGACAGGCACUAUAUCUCAAUAGUAUGACGGGCACUAUAUCACAAGAGUGUGGAGCAUGUCAGAGAGAUGAUAUAUGGGUUAGCUAGUGGGUAUAUCGGGUUCUGGCAAAGCAAUCGACAUGUGAGCUCACAGCCAGUAGAAAAGGCAUACAUCAUAUGCAUUUGUUUGUCUUGUUUGAAUUUUUAUUACUUGGGUUUGCCUAUUUGAAUAUCUAUGCUUAUUUGCUAUAUGUACUAUUUGCUAUAACUGUAUUUUUAUCUGUGUUUUCCUUGUCUAUAUUGUAUGUCUGUACAACUGAGAGAUCCUUCGUCUGGUGGAGGAGUGACGAGGGUAGUUCCACCAGUGUUUCGGAGGGCUGGAGGAAGCAAGAUUUGAAAGGUCGAGAAGCACCUCGCUAGGCGUCUAGAGUCUUCGGAGCAAGCGGAGUUGGUUCUUUUGGGGAUUCUAUGUCUUGUAUUAGGUCAUGUUCAUGUGUGUGUCUUGUAUUAGGUCGUGUGUGUGUGUGUGUGCGCGCGCAUGUGUGGUGCGUGUGUGUGUGCAUGUGUGUGUGUAUGCGUGCUCCUUAGACUCUCUUUUUAUAUAUUUUUGGAUAUUGUACCUCUUAGAGGAUACUUUGGAGAAAACAGGUGUCAGUUGUGUUUUGGGUUAAUUUUUGGGUAUAUGUAUAUAUGUAUAUGUACUUAUACUCCGGCCGGCCUUGGCUUCGCAAGUCGAACCCGGAGCUUGCUAUUCUGUAUUUUGGUACUCUAUCCUUUAUAUAUAUUUCAUGUCUUAUUCUUAUC